ACUCUAAUAGUUUACAAAAAACGUUGGUCUUGUAAACCAAAGAAUGAAGAUUCCCACCCUUCAUUAGAGUU
rnacentral:tRNA from 1 species